CUACAUUAAGAGAAAGGCUGUUACAUCCCAUAAACAACGAGUAAAUUAGAUUAGUAUCAUGGUUUUGCCAUCUUCAUCAAUCUUAACAUCUGCCCAACUAGCAAAUUCUCACAAACCUAGCAUAUCGACUGCAAAGAGAAGUGACUACACUAAGAGGAAGGCUGUUACAUCCCGAUGAACUACUCCCUCCUUCCCAUAAUAUAAGAGCGUUUUUGACACUACACUAGUGUCAAAAAUGCUCUUAUAUUAUGGGAUGGAGGGAAUAAACGGUUUCGCCAUCUUGACAUUUGCCCAACCAGCAAACUCUAUCCAUGGCAGUGAGG
rnacentral:rRNA from 1 species